GGCUCGGUAGCGCAGCGGUUCAGCGUACCUGUUGUAUUAACAGGAGACCCCAGUUCGACUCUGGGCCGAGUCU
rnacentral:tRNA from 1 species